GCUGAACCCUGUAUACAACAGCUAAAGCUACAAGAUUAAUAAGCUGAAUUAAAUAUGUGGACACUUCUAAGCUGAUGAGCAAGUUACACAUUUUCAGAGCAGGAGCUGCAUAAGAACACAUCAGAGGGAGGGAAACAGAGCUAUUAAAGCUCAAGCAUGCAGCUGUCUGUGAGCUCAGUUUUUUUCCCUCACACUUCUGAUUUGUCUUUGGCAGCAGCCUUUUUUGCAUCCUGACUCAUGUGUGUGAAGCGUUCAUGCCAUCAGCAACUUGUUUUUUGUUUUUUUGUUUUGUUGGGUUGAAAAAUAAAUAAAUUUGUGAUCACACUUGUGGAUCACAGAGACACAUAAUGAUUAGGCAUAUGAUUUACUAAUGCAGAUGAAGUUUAUUCUAAAGUUCAAGGAGAACAAAGAAGAACAGCAUCUUCAGUUGUGUCUUGGCUGUUGUUCUCUGUGUAGUGUGCUGAGUUUUUUGACAUGUUGCUUGAGUGAGGAGUACUGUGACUUCUGAAGUGGCUCUCAUCAUGCGACCUUGAUGAUGAUAAGUUCAGAGCCAGCUGAGAGCUGGGUUGUCUGCUUUGUUUUAGGUGAUAAGGCAGAAAAGUUGAAAUUUAGUUUCUUGUCUUGAAAAAAAAAAAGUGUUUUGUGUUUCUCAGCCAAGAACAACUACAAUCUCAUUUUCUGUUUUUGAGAAAGGAGAAUUUAAAAAAUAAAUAAAACAAACAAAGAGAGGAGAUGUGUUGUUUAAGUGGUGAUGAAAAUAAUAUUAAAUAAGUGUCUUAGUGUGUCCGCUGCAGGUGGCUGCGGACCUGGAUCAACCUCCUCCACGAGCACAGCGGCCAGAGCAAAAUGUUGUUAACACACUCAAAAGAAUGAAUGAGGUGGAUUGUUCAGUGUAUAUUAAUUAUUUAUUUUCAUUUUACUUAAAAUAUAUGUUUUUGUUAAGUUAACAUAUGUUUUUCUAAUCAAGUCUACGUAAUUGUGUCUAUUAUUCACUGUACAUAAUACGAAUGUGUUACUUGAUGGCAUAACAUUUAAGUCAAUUAGGAUCGAUAUACUUUGUAUAUCCACUAGGUGGCAGUAAUGCAAAAACAGUUGUAAUAAAACCGCGAAGAACAACAAGGUUUCACGGCUUGGGCUUGCUCAUGCGCAAGACUUCAAAUUUAACUUAAAAACGUUGUUUUGGCGCCAAGCUGCUGUUUCUUUGAGAGGUAAGACCAGUUUUUUCUUUGACUAUGUUGUGUAGUAUCUACAUGUCGAGCAUGGUUAUAUUUUGCGUUUGUCUUAUAAGACAUGUUAUAUCGUUUGCGUGCGCUUGUUCUACAUUAGUUUUACUGGGUCCUGGACAUGCUUAUUUUGUGGACUGUGUAAGAAACAUUUUUAUUGUUUUUGGUUUUAUUAACGGAUUAGCUACAGGGGUUCAUGGGGUUAUUUUUUCAUUUGCUUUCUUGGGAUUCCUUUACUGUAAUCCGAGAGUCAUAAAUAUCGAAUAGGAUAGCAAGGAUAGCAUAAAGUGACAUUUAAAAUCCAAAAAGUCGAGGGCGAAAGCCACUGUGACACCAUUGUUAUGCUCUAUCAGUAAUCUGUAUUAUGUAAAAAUGGUCUGUAAAUACAGCAUGUUUCCUAGCGGAGUUAUACAUAUCAACAUAGUUAUAAAUUACAGUUUGUUAAAUCACACACUUAAUUUUUUUAAUAAAAUUAUUCACGACAUAUGAGUGGACAGACAAUGGAGGCCGACAGACCUGGUGAUAAUUGCUUCUAUAGAAAGUUAGCACAUGGCAGUGUCAAUCUCUUGCUUUUCUUCUGAGUAGUAUUUUAUUUAGUUGUAAUACAAUCAAUAAUUUGCUUCUUGAAAUUAAGUAAUGAAUUUCUUGUUUUGCUGUAUAAAUUUCAGAUCCUGCCUUUACCUGCUCCCUCCUAUACUGAUGUGGUGUAUGUGGUACUGCUGAGCUUGUAUGUGAUCUGAACCAUUGUAAAGGUUGCAGUUCAAGGGCCUGAGGUGGAAGCAGAAUUUGUGAGGAUUACUACUGUUCCAAGGCUUUUUGCACAACUUGACCAAUACACUGACCAGCUCAUAAAAGUCUUCAAGAAAAAAGGAGGCGCUGCAGUGAAGAAAAUUAGACAAACUUUUGCCCCAGCCACACAGAAGCAAACUAUUGAAAAGGGGAGGGAGUGUGUCCUCAGGGCACUACCUUUCUACCUGAAUGAAGACCCAAGCAUCCUCUUCAAAGAAUAAUUGCUACAGCUACAGCUGUUCAGAGGGAGCUGGAACAAAUCACCCUUGCUAUCUUCACCAUCGAAAAAGCUGAUGUCAGCACUCCUCCAGGCGAUGUGGGUAUAACCAUCUAGGGUGUUCUGCAUGACCUGGAAGACAUGGCCUCUGCAUGUGCACUCUUAAUGGGUGGGAUAUAUGCACUGAAUCUCAGAGCUUCCUUCAUCUGUAUGUCAACAGACUCUUGACCAAGGUACAGAUACUCAAGAAUAAACUGAAUGAAUAAGCCAACCCUUAAUUUGGAUGAUGAAUGUUCUGUCAGAUGGACAGAAGUUUUUCAGAGGCUGAAUGGGAAUAAAACGGUAAUUUGUUGAAAAUGACAGAUAAAGGGAAAAUUACAUUUAAGAGAAAUUUUGAAAAGUUUGUAAACUACUACAAUUUGAGAGAUUUUACUCUUGUGGGUGGAGGGGGGCUAGUAAGAGACAAUCAAAAGUGUCGAGAUUUAAAGGAUUUAAUUGAGAGAUGAUACUGCACCAGAAAUGUUGAAGGGUGGUGUGUAUAUUAGCGUUCAAAGCAUAUUGUUAUGAGGUGGAAAUAUGUUCAUAUUCUGUUUGUGUUACAUUGUGUGCAUUGUAAAGGUAAUUGCAAUACAUACUAAGAAUAAGGGUAAGUUAGGAAUGCAGGAUGAAUGUAUAUUUUGCGGACUUUUAAAGGCGAACAAUUGUUUCCAUGUUAAAAUGUUUACAACCCAAGUUUUUGCCCAAACACUGGUAAAAUAAACGUUGAGGGUGGCAAGUGUUAAAUGGUUACUGUUGUGCUGUUGCAAAAAACUGAACGCUGACAAGCUGUUUUAUUGUUAGACCAUAAUGCUGGCAUGCUUUAUUUAAGUUUUAUUUGGGAUGGUGAUAUAAUUUUCUUUGAUUGCUAAUAUCAGUGGACUAUGUAUUAUUAUUAUUAUUAUUAUUAUUAUUAUUAUUAUUAUUAUUACAACAUUAAUUGUUUUUUAAUUGUGGCUGUUGAGGUGGACACUUCACUUUGCAUUGUUAAAGGAAAGCACUUCAUUGGCGUUGUGUUACUGGACUGACCCUAAGCAAUCAUUGCAAAUAGUAACUUUGCUAUCCAUUUUAGACACUAAAAGAAAAAACACUCCACAGACCUUACUAGCAUCACAUGUGCGUAACUCAAGUGUCAUCUUAUCAACACGUUAUGUGGUCUUCAAUGUUUUUCUUCUAUUUCUGGCAGAUACAGACAUUUAAUUUAAAGUCUUGAUGUUGCAUCUGUCUACAUACUGUUAGUUACUAACCCUAAUGAGCUGUUGUGUUUUAUUUUGGACUGGGUUUACACAAAUGCUCACUGAAUCUG